CCAACCUAGUAAAGACAAUCGAAUGGGUGAAGUGUCCGACGAGAAAGCCUUUGUUAGUUCAAACCCCAAUGGGAGAAAUACAGGCAGAUCAGGUUUGCUCAAAUAUCAAUCUUGUCAUAAAGAAGGAAAACUUCACUGUAAACCUCAUUGUGCUAGAUUCACUCAAUAUUCCUUUGGUUCUUGGCAAUGGAUGGCUAUGUGCACACAAGGCAGUGAUCUAUGCUACCCCGUGGAAAAUUUUCUUAACUGCACCAUCAGGGAAAAGAAUUGAGUAUCAAGGUGGUCCACUCCUACCUGAGGAGGCAUAUCCAUGCUAAGGUAUCAUGUCUUUGAGUUGUAUAAGUUGAAAAGUUGGUAGUCAAGAUGGACAGUGAGCAAUUACGAAUAAUAGACAUCUUAUGGAAGUUUUGUUCACAAGUUGUAAUCCCGAGACAUAAGUGCUUGCAUUUGGAAUACAAGUUGUGAAGUUGAAAUAGACAUCAAGAUCUUGUUCUUGUCUCCCUUUUUGAAUCCGUGUCUCUUCCGAAUCUCGAGGACGAGAUUCAUUUUAAGGGGGGUAGAUUUGUAACACCCAAAAAUUUACAAAUUUUGAAAUAGGUGGAAAUGAUUUAAUUCUGUAUUUUUGUGUUCAUGGAAUAUAGAGAAAUAAUAUUUUCAUCGAAUUAAAAUUUAUUAUAGGAUUUAGCAACUUGUUGUGCAUUCAUUUUUGGGGCAUUUGUUUUACUGUUUGGUGUGUAUUUAACUAAAGAUCAAAACAUUUCAAACAGAUUUUAAAAGGAUUUUUUAAAUGAGUUUGAAAUGGCUUUUAGAUAAAAGAAAAUAAAAGAAAAAAAAAGGGGAAACAUCUCCCUCCAUUUGUUUUGGCCCGAAGACCCCAAGCCCCUCCCCUCUUCCCUUCCGGCCCAGCACGCCACCCCUUUUUCCAUCUCUCGCUCGGCCCACUACCUCGGCCCAACCGCACGCGGCCACUCCUUUCUCCCCGCGGCCCGCGGCCCGCGUCCCUCCCUUCUCUCCCUCACAACCGGGCGCGGCCACUCCUUUCUCCCCGCGGCCCGCGUCCCUCCCUUCUCUCCCUGAGAACCGGGCCCAGCUUGUCAGCCGCCCUUUCCCUUCUUCAACCCC
rnacentral:lncRNA from 1 species